GAUACUUGAAGACAAUUCAGAUCACCGGGACAGGUACCAUCAGAUCCUAAUAUUUUCAGUUUUCCUCCUGUCAACAGCCUUGGUCCAUGCUCCUAAUGGAACGUGGUCCCUGAGGGCCAGGUCUGACCACAUGGUCACCUCCCUUGUUUUAGGGCAGAGACCUUGAUUAACACAACAUUUCUUUAGUGACUCUUCAAGGCGCGACUCCCUGCACCUAAGCUGUUGUGCCCAGCGGUGGCCCCUGACCCUCACCUAUUACCCUCCCCCUGCAGCUUUGCGGUUAUUCCGGGAAGGGGCCCGAGAAGCUGGGCCUGCACUUCAACCCUUGCUUCGGUCAGUGUCGCCCUUGAGAGUGACGGAUUCAAGGUGACGCCCCCGAUGGGCACCAGUUCAUGUUUCCUAACAGGCUGGGCCUCUGCCAGCUGCCCUACCUGAGCGUGGAGGGGCUUCAGCAUCUCCUCCCUGAGGUCUGACUGAGUGGGCAGCACCUGCCAGAAUAAAAGGCCCAGCCAGAGCCCCACCCAUGUCUUCCUGAGUCACGCCAUGACCAGCAGCCCCCACUCCCCCACUGCCAAUUCCUGCCUCUCUGGUCCCAUUUUUCUUCCUCAAAUUUCAGAGUAAAUAAAAAAACCCAACUUUA
rnacentral:lncRNA from 1 species